rnacentral:lncRNA from 1 species
GAAAUACCCUCGACGAAAAUGAAAACGCAGGCACACGACGCAGGAUAAACUCAACGCUGGCAGCUAUAAAUUUUCGUUAACCGACUAAUAAUGAUGUACGCAACGUUAGUCUUCGACUGAGAUACCGGACGAAAGUAUAUAGUCGUGAAAUGCAUCUAAUACGAAGAAUAACGGGAGAGGCAUGCAUGGAAGGAAAUCAUAAACUCCUCGACACCUCCGUUCUCCUGGACAAACAAGAAGCUAGAGCUCUGCGGACGACUGAGACGCGUUUUCAGACUAAACGAGAGGAAACCUUAAUAAUAUACUGUGAGAGGAAGAAGAAGAAGAAGAAGAAGACGAAGAGGUCAAAGAAGACGCGUCCAUUAAUUCACCACGGGUAGUACGGUGGCAGCUUUUCAAGUUUGAGCCGCGAGGACGCUCGUCGGAGGGUGAAGGAGAGCAAGGGAGACGAAGAAUCGAGGAGGAAAGGGAAGUUUAAAUGGAAUGAGAGCGCUUUCGGAGCACUGCGAGCUAAUUCUCGUACCGCUUCGAAUACACGA